CGCCUGUUUAUCAAAAACAUAGCCUUCAGCCCACCAAGUAUUGAAGGUGAUGCCUGCCCAGUGACACUACGUUCAACGGCCGCGGUAUCCUAACCGUGCAAAGGUAGCGCAAUCAAUUGUCUCAUAAAUCGAGACUUGUAUGAAUGGCUAAACGAGAUCUCAACUGUCUCUUGCAGAUAAUCAGUGAAACUGAUCUUCCUGUGCAAAAGCAGGAAUAAACACAUAAGACGAGAAGACCCUGUGGAACUUAAAAAUCAGCAGCCACUCUACUAAACUCAAACCUACAAGGCUCACCAAACCCUAAACACAUUGGCCUGCAUUUUUUGGUUGGGGCGACCUUGGAGAAAAACAGAACCUCCAAAAACAAGACCACACCUCUUACUUAAGAGCAACACCUCGACGUACAAACAGUAACCAGACCCAGUACAACUGAGCAAUGAACCAAGCUACCCCAGGGAUAACAGCGCAAUCUCCCCCAAGAGCCCGUAUCAACGGGGAGGUUUACGACCUCGAUGUUGGAUCAGGACAUCCUAAUGGUGCAGCCGCUAUUAAGGGUUCGUUUGUUCAACGAUUAACAGUCCUACGUGAUCUGAGUUCAGACCGG
rnacentral:rRNA from 1 species